AUUGAACGCUGGCGGCAUGCCUUACACAUGCAAGUCGAACGGCAGCACGGAGCAAUCCUGGUGGCGAGUGGCGAUCGGGUGAGUAAAGUAUCGGAACGUGCCCAGUCGUGGGGGAUAACGUAGCGAAAGUUACGCUAAUACCGCAUACGAACUAUGGAUGAAAGCGGGGGCUCGCAAGACCUCGCGCGAUUGCACCGGCCGAUAUCGGACUAGGUAGUUGGUGGGGUAAAGGCUCAACAAGCCGACGAUCUGUAGCUGGUCUGAGAGGACGGCCAGCCACACUGGGACUGAGACACGGGCCAGACUCCUACCGGAGGCAGCAGUGGGGAAUUUUGGACAAUGAGCGAAAGCCUGAUCCAGCCAUGCCGCUUGCAGGAUGAAGGCCUUCGGGUUGUAAACUGCUUUUGUACGGAACGAAAAGGUUUGGGCGAAUAAGCUGAGCUCAUGACGGUACCGUAAGAAUAAGCACCGGCUAACUACGUGCCAGCCGCCGCAGUAA
rnacentral:rRNA from 1 species